UACGUAGGGGCAAGCGUUAUCCGGAUUUACCGGGUGUAAAGGGAGCGUAGACGGCCAAGCAAGUCUGAAGUGAAAGCUCGGGGCUCAACCCCGGAACUGCUUUGGAAACUGUGAGGCUGGAGUGCAGGAGAGGUAAGCGGAAUUCCUAGUGUAGCGGUGAAAUGCGUAGAUAUUAGGAGGAACACCAGAGGCGAAGGCGGCUUACUGGACCGUAACUGACGUUGAGGCUCGAAGGCGUGGGGAGCAAACA
rnacentral:rRNA from 1 species